CAGCCGCCGCGGUAACACCAGCCCCUCGAGUGGUGGGGACUAUUAUUUGGCCUAAAGCGUCCGUAGCUGGCUGUAUCCGUCUCCCGGUAAAUCCGGCGUCCUAAGCGUCGGUUCUCGGGUGAUACCAUACAGCUAGAGGGUGGGAUAGGUGAGCGGUAUUUCUGGGGUAGGGGCGAAAUCCUUUGAUCCCAGGAGGACCACCAGUGGCGAAGGCUGCUGACUAGAACACGCCUGACGGUCAGGGACGAAAGCUGGGGUAGCGAACCGGAUUAGAUACCCGGGUAGUCCCAGCUGUAAACGAUGCACGCUAGGUGUUGGGUCGGCCACGCGCCGCCCCAGUGCCGCAGGGAAGCCGUUAAGCGUGUCGCCUGGGGAGUACGGCCGCAAGGCUGAAACUUAAAGGAAUUGGCGGGGGAGCAC
rnacentral:rRNA from 1 species